UACGUAGGUGGCAAGCGCUGUCCGGAUUUAUUGGGCGUAAAGCGAGCGCAGGCGGUUCGUUAAGUCUGAUAUGAAAGCCCCCGGCUCAACCGGGGAAGGUCAUUGGAUACUGGGGGACUUGAGUGCAGAUGAGGAGAGUGGAAUUCCAUGUGUAGCGGUGAAAUGCGUAGAUAUAUGGAGGAACACCAGUGGCGAAGGCGACUCUCUGGUCUGUAACUGACGCUGAGGCUCGAAAGCGUGGGGAGCAAACAGG
rnacentral:rRNA from 1 species